AGAUAACUAGAAGAGACCAGAGGGGAGGAAAGACGGGAGAGGCAACCCAGCUUCCAUAAUCGCCUUCGAGAGGUGUAGAUUCCGGUAAAGCAGCGGUGAGAGCGGUCCCUCCGACCCGGGUCGGGGGAAGAACCCGGCGGGUAAAGGGCAGAGGGUGCUAGUGACCGGGGGACAAUCCCAAAAGGGGAAAGGAAUUUGAAAAAGAAAAAGGAGUGUCAGCGGUUUUAGGCCAAUAGAAGGUAAAACCGGGUAGAAAAGUCAAACAAUGGGACUUUAGACUGCUGGGCAAGGACCUUUCUCAAAGACAGUGUC
rnacentral:lncRNA from 1 species